UGGGGCCAUUGACUUCAGCAGUACCACAGCGAUUUCUGUACGUGAAAGGUUUGGCCCUCUGCUUGCUUUCCUUUCUUCAGUCCUGCCUGCUUUUGGGGUCCCGGGGAGCUCUCCAGCUGAAUUGUGGGGGUCGAUACAGAGUUUUUCCUGGUAAAUGAGAAAAACACUGUCCUUCCAUGCCGCUUCAUCUGCCUGGGAUUUCCGACUGACUAAUUCCAUCUGGCAGGCUGACCAUGCUUCAAAGACUGCAGAUCCUGAGACUUUUAACUUACAAACAAAACCAUGCAUUAAAAAAAAAAGAAGAGACCAAAAAAAAAAAAAAAAAGACAGCUUUCCCCAGGGAUAGUCUCUGUGAAAUCCAAAACAAGGUCUCAGUGCCUGCCCUGGUGCUGCGGCUGACGCCAGUGUUUUUUCUGUCCCUUUUAAAACUGAGCUGGAGUGUUCCCGACUCCUCUGUUCAACACCUCCGGCUCCCUUAUUCCCCUUGAUUAAGCUCCAGGAGAGGGGGAGUCUGGAAGGAGGCCUCAGAUAUGUGUGCAGCUCUUAAAUGCUGUGAAAGGAACCCUGAUGAAAGGUUAAGGCAGUGGCAUGGAUGACACCCAACAAGAGGGAACACUCACAUGCUCUGAACAGCAGCAGUACAGAGUGAGGAUAACCCCAGCGUGGGCAGGGGGCUGACUCAUCUCUCCAGAAGAGGCAACACUGUUUAUUAAUCACUGCUCCUUUGAAGUGGAAAAAUGGAGAAAACCUCUCAUGGCCAACGUUGUGAUUAACCAUCUAAUUGUUCUGCUGUGCUCAGGAGUUAAGACAAGGCACAGUGCAGACUGAAGAGAGAUUUCUGUAGGAGAUCAGAUGGGAAAUCACUCUCCUGGCUGGAUUCCUUCAGAAUUGGUGAGUUCUAGAAGUAGCGACCAUGCCAUCAGCUUACAUGGAGGUAAUGCAUCCUGGUCCCUUGGUAAUGGUCUGCUCAUUCACAUAAUAAAAGGACUCUCUGCUGGUCUGUAUUGCACAGCUCUGUUGUAUUUCAACCAUUUAUUCACUGCACCUACAUCACAUUGUGAAGUACCCAAGGCUAGGACUUUCAAAUCUGCUCCAAAGACUGAGGAAAUGGACUUCU